rnacentral:rRNA from 1 species
CCUACGGGUGGCAGCAGUAGGGAAUAUUGCUCAAUGGGGGAAACCCUGAAGCAGCAACGCCGCGUGGAGGAUGAAGGUUUUCGGAUUGUAAACUCCUUUUGUUAGAGAAGAUAAUGACGGUAUCUAACGAAUAAGCACCGGCGAACUCCGUGCCAGCAGCCGCGGUAAUACGGAGGGUGCAAGCGUUACUCGGAAUCACUGGGCGUAAAGAGCGCGUAGGCGGGAUAGCAAGUCAGAUGUGAAAUCCUAUGGCUUAACCAUAGAACUGCAUUUGAAACUGUUAUUCUAGAGUAUGGGAGAGGUAUGUGGAAUUCUUGGUGUAGGGGUAAAAUGCGUAGAGAUCAAGAGGAAUACUCAUUGCGAAGGCGACCUGCUAGAACAUAACUGACGCUGAUGCGCGAAAGCGUGGGGAGCAAACAGGAUUAUAUACCCGAGUAGUC